UGCGUGCGCUGGGCGCGGAGCCGCCGGUAACAGGAGCCGCCGGACCCCGGCGAGGAGCUGACUCUGUCUUUUCGGCUCUGCCCCGUGUAUAUUUAUCUGGGUCUCGGCACACCUUAAAGAGGUCACCUGAGCUCCUGCCUGAGUCUCGAAGAGUGAGGACUGAGAUCUGAGGGUGAAGAACCUCAUGAACCUGCUGCAGAGCUGAGGAAGCUGAUGGAUGCUGCAGGAUUUCUAAAAACCAGCAGCUGCCAAGACACCAUCAGUCCCUGCUGGAAUUGUGAUUACCUCCUUGCCCAGGUGAUGCAGAAGCUUCGGAUGUUUCCCAUGCAGGGCCAUCAGAAGUGAUCUCAGGACAUCAGCCAGGGAAGACCAUCAAUGCCAGGGGCAAAUGAGGCCGAGAACAGAGACUGUUGGGUGUCCAGCUAAUCAUCAGGAGGGGAGAGCUGGCUGGGUACAAUGGUUCCUCAGCAGGGGCUCCUGGUUCCACAGCUCCAGGUGGUGUGGGCAGGGCUGCAGCUGAGGGCAGGUUACAUCCCCGGACACUGGGCACAUCAGCACGUUCUGCUGGGUCAAAUGCAGAAGAGCUCAGUUGAGAAAAUGUGAAAUGAAGCCUGCUACUGGUCUAAACCCAGCUCUGAAAAUGAAAGUAACCACUUCUACAAGUUUAAAACCGGUGCCAUGUAGCAGCUCAGCGAGUCUACUCUCACCCAGAAGGACACUGGGUGUAUUCCUGGUGGGCUCUCAGCAGCUGGGACGUCUGGAAGGAGCAGCACAGCAGCAUCGAGACGCUUCACCUGCCACCCAAACCCCACUGUGAGUAGUGAGAAAUGAAUUUGAUAGUGUGGAAAAUCUGGGCAUUACUGAGAAGUUAAGUCAGUCUCCAACUGGAUUCAUUCACUGCUGGUAGUUGGAAAAAUUAAUAAAGUGCAGACCUGAAUCAA